GCGCCUGUAGCUCAGCGGAUAGAGCGGCGAUCUCCUACAUCGCAGGCCGCACGUUCAAAUCGUGCCGGGCGCACCA
rnacentral:tRNA from 1 species